GGGCCCGUCGUCUAGUCUGGUUAGGACGCCACCCUCACACGGUGGAGAUCCGGGGUUCAAGUCCCCGCGGGCCCA
rfam:Sulfolobus tokodaii str. 7 DNA, complete genome.